AGAGAAGAGAGAGAGAGAGAGAGAGAGAGAGAGAGAGAGAGAGAGAGAGAGAGAGAGAGGAAAGAGAUCAGAGGAGGGGUCUAGUGUAGCUGGAUGACUAAGGAAACAUCUUCUAAUUUUGAGAACAGACACUUAUAUUCUUUGUUUCCUACAGCAAAAGAAUCAAAAGUAUUAGAAGAAACUUUUUAGAGUUUAACACCUGAAUCCUCAGUGAAGAAGAGCAGAACAAUGGGAUCCUUCAAUGUUUUCCUAGUGAUCCUAUGGCUUCAGUUCAUCUGGGUGAGCAGCCAGCAGAAGGACGUGGAGCAGAGUCCUGAGACCCUCAGUGUUCCAGAGGGAGACACCGCAGAUCUCAACUGCACUUACAGGGACAGCAAUUCUAACAACUUCAGGUGGUACCGACAGUACCCUGGGAAAGGCCCUGAGCUGCUGAUAUCCAUAUUCUCCAAUGGUGACCAAGAAGAAGGAAGAUUUAAAGCACAGCUCAACAGAGCCAACCGACGUGUUUCUCUGCACAUCGGGGCCUCCCUGUUCCCUGACUCAGCCACCUACUUCUGUGCAGUGAGGCCACAGUGCUCCCCAGACACCUGCAGCCUGCACUGAAACCCAUACAAGCCUGAGGCAGAGA